rnacentral:rRNA from 1 species
UACGGGGGGGGCAAGCGUUGUUCGGAAUUACUGGGCGUAAAGGGCUCGUAGGCGGCCAACUAAGUCGGAUGUGAAAUCCCCAAGCUUAACUUGGGAACUGCAUCCGAUACUGGAUGGCUUGAAUCCGGGAGAGGGAUGCAGAAUUCCAGGUGUAGCGGUGAAAUGCGUAGAUAUUUGGAGGAACACCGAUGGCGAAGGCAGGUCUCUGGGCCACUACUGACGCUGAGAAGCGAAAGCAUGGGGAGCGAACAGG